rnacentral:rRNA from 1 species
GUGUCAGCAGCCGCGGUAAUACGUAGGGUGCGAGCGUUGUCCGGAAUUACUGGGCGUAAAGAGCUCGUAGGUGGUUUGUCGCGUUGUUCGUGAAAACCGGAGGCUUAACCUCUGGCGGGCGGGCGAUACGGGCAGACUGGAGUACUGCAGGGGAGACUGGAAUUCCUGGUGUAGCGGUGGAAUGCGCAGAUAUCAGGAGGAACACCGGUGGCGAAGGCGGGUCUCUGGGCAGUAACUGACGCUGAGGAGCGAAAGCGUGGGGAGCGAACAGGAUUAGAUACCCUGGUAGUCCACGCCGUAAACGGUGGGUACUAGGUGUGGGUUUUGGGAUCCGUGCCGUAGCUAACGCAUUAAGUACCCCGCCUGGGGAGUACGGCCGCAAGGCUAAA